UUUUUUUUUUUUUUUUUUGUGGUGGUGGUGGUUUGGUGGGGAAUGAAUAGUCUGUUCUGAACCUGAAGUCAUUCAUUUUCAGAAGAGGUUGUUUGUGCUGAAUCCCUCUGCAAUUCACACAUCUCCCAAGCUUACCCAUGUUGGGUGUAUAGUAAAGACAUCAUCUUCAUAGCCAGCAGUGUUAAAGUAGUAGACUUUGCACAACUUUAAUUUUGGGGUUUUUUUGUGUUUUAAAAAAUACUUAAUGUGUGUCUUCUCAACAACUAAGUGUUUUUUUAACAAUGUAUGUACUUCUUUAAGCAUUGCAGAAAAUAGCCUGUGGGUUUUGAAUUUUUAAAUAAGCUAUUAUAGGUUCAUUGCAACAUAACUGUAUCUGUUCUUCUGUUAGUGAAAGGAAACAUGCAGCUGGGAGCCACAGCUUGACAUCACACAACUUUGCUAAAGACAGAGCCAGGUCAGAAGGUGUUGUUUAAUAUUGUUUUUUGUAUUUUUCCAGCUGUUUUGAGUUAGGAUUUUAUGGUAAGAAGAUUCACAAAUCAUCAUUUAGUGAAUUGUUGCUGUUACCAACUUCCAUUGUUCUUGGGCCUCCUACUCUUCUGUGCUUUUCUACCCUCAGAUAUGCUGGAUUUUGUGGGAGAGAUUGAAUAUCGUAGGAGGAGUUACUUAAAAUGUGUAGCCAGAGUAACUGGAGUGAAUAAUGACAACAUGGAAAAUAUUAUUGGUACUUGUUACAAUGAAUAGUUCAGUACUUUCCUAUUGUUUAUCUGCUAUUUAGCCAAGUAGUCCUACAGGGCAACAAAGAAAUGCUGAAAUGUUACAUAUUUUGAGAUAAAUGGUGCUCAGGAGGUGGUAGUGUUGUUCCCUGAGGAAAAGCUGCCUCAGCUAAGCUUUGGAAAGAUUCAAACCAGUCAAAUACACUGUAAAGAAUGUAGUAAUACCCUUUUUUGAAAAAGGGAUUAAAAAUAUAAAUAAUUACACCAGUGCUGAGAAAACAAGGACAGCAACAAGCUCAUGGUAUUCAGGUAAGACUGUCAUCCAGACUACUUCAGGUAGUUGGCAGUUUCUCUUUGACUUUUUUUUUUUAAUGUAUUGCUCUAAUUCCUUAUUUUGUUAAUAACUGCUGAAAUAUUUCAGCUAGUAUUCAUCACUUUAUUUCUUAAUGUUUUGAUUUUGAAACUAAAGAUGCCUCUUAUUUGUUUUGGAGGCAUAGGAGCAAAAAGUAUUCAGUGUAGAUCUUUUUAGCAAGAUUUUGCAUGUAAAUGUUAAUCAUCUGUUGACUGCUGACCACUUCGUUAGCUGAACUAACAGUCUUGGGGAAGACUGAACAACAGGGAAUGUCUGGUUUAUGAAUCUGGUGCAGUGCAUUAGAAAUACAUACAAUUGCAGUGGUUGUUGAAUACUUUUAUCCUUCUAACUUAAUCCAGACUACUUUUGGCUACAUUUUUCAAACCUGACUUCUAUUCCAGUGUGCUUAGAAAGCAGAUAAGGAGAUUUAUUUUUGAAAAAAUUCUGAUAAUUUGAGUUAACAUACCUCAUCCCAGACAUGUAUUGAAUUUUGCAGACAUUUCAUGCCAGAGGAAACUAUAAUGAUUCAUUAAGUAUUUAGGUGCAAGUUAUAGACAUUAAAAUUACAAAUACUAAAUGAAUGCACAUAAAUACUUAAUGAAUGAGCUUUAGCACGCAGCUUAAAAUCGUGUUACUGUUAGCUCUUUUAGAUUACUGCAGAAAUCAUACUGAAGAAAGAUCUGUAAAAGAAAAUACUUUAAUGACAGACACUAUUUGUCAACUCUGCAGCUGGUGUAUCAAGCAGCCCCCUAGUUACGCAGAUGUUUUAGCCUUCUGCUUGAGGAAUCAGUGUCUCUUUUGGGGAAUCAGCUGAUUAACUUUCCUCCUCAAAAUGCAACUGCAGAGCACUUGAACUUUUACCAAGAAAAGCAUUUAUAGAAGUAUGCAUAUGCAUUUGAAAACAUAUUGGGAGCAAAAGAAAGCAUAAAACAAAAACAAUGACAAACCAAAAAAACAGGUUUCAUUAGGUUUGAUAAAAGGCAAUUGGUAUUGUGGUUUUGGUUAGCUGUUGCAAAUCUUGUUCAAAUCAAUAUAAGGUAAAUCAUGGGAUCUUGUUUCUUCUGGCUCUGUCAGUGGCAUUUUUCUUCAUUCAUUGUCCUUUUUUUGGUAUGCUAACCCACCAGCAUUACUAGAUCUUUUCCAUGGGCAGCUGUAGUAUGCUGCCUGUUGCAAGCAUUGAGACACCAGGGCUGUUAGUAAAUUGCAUCAGAUAAUUGCUUAUUUGCCCUCCAAGGAAAAGUUUCAAAAGUUUUGUUAUUAUUUAACUGUUGCCCUUUUUUUAAUUCUUCUCUAAAAGUGACUUGUGCAUAAGGUGAUUUGUCUUGGGAAAGAUUCUGUACGAGUGGACAUGGAAUUUGUUUGUAGGGGUUAUCCUUUUUUUAAAAACCAUCAUUCUAAUUUAUGAUGUGACAAAGAGUGUGAGUGCUUGAUUUUUAAGGAGGACAUUUGUCAGUGCCUUAUUAUUAACUUGAAGACCAAUUCUUUUAUUUCAGUGCUGAGUGUACCACAAUGGCAGACUUGCAUACUGUGUCCUUGAUGUUCCAAGGGGUAACAUUCCUUACAGUCGUUGCAUUUCUGCAGAAGUUAGUUGUUUUGGUCAGUGUAAAAUAGUUGUGGCUUGAAUUGCUUUAGCUGGGGGGUGAGGUAGGAGCAUGGGGUGUUUGUAUUUGAAUAGCUUCUUUUAAGGAAAAAUGCAGAGAUAUUCGGUAGCUUGGGCUUGUUCAGCUUUUAUCAGAAGUAGCUCAGACUUCUUCAAAAUUGAUUUGAUUUAAUUUUCUUUUGGUAUGUCUCUGGAUAGAUGAGGAGUAGGGAUUGAAAGGGGUAAUCCAAGUCAUGGUCUAGACCACAUGAACUAAGAGCUCACGUUAUUAGAAAGGAGCUCAGUUUUCUCUUUCCCAUUUUGAUUUAAACAUUGAAGAGCAUUCUUAUACCUAUAGGAAAAAAAAAUGGGGAAAGAAAAGGCUUGAAUAAAUAUUACUCUUUCUUAAUAUCCCAUAAGUUCAGUUCUGUAUAUCGUAUUUCUAGUGUCAACGCUAUGUGGAGAGUACUGUCCUUCACUGAAACAACUGCUAGAGAUGGUUUUAGUAGUAAGAAAUUACAAGUAUUUGAAAGAAAAAAAUGAAAGAAUAUGUUGUUCUCAAGCAAUUAAAUAUUUGUUUUCCUUGAACACAUCCUUAUAAAAACAUAGCAGUUUUAGUGUUUAUAAGUUCAGAUGCUGGAAGGGUAAUUAGAAAAUCUUAUGCUUUCUAGACUCUUCAAAGACAAUAGAAGGGUUAAGUCAAAGGAGGAAAGACAAAUAACUCAGUUUAGCCAUGCCUGUUACAGAAUAGAGCUAACAAGUUUUCUUGAAGUUACGUUGCUAAGAAAAAAGGUGUAUGAAAUGUAAUGAAAUGCAAGUUCCUGCAGAUAGUGGCACAGUUACAGCUAUUAGCCUGAUCUUGCUCUUGAAUGACUAAAAGCAUCAUAAAUAUUCCAUUUCCUUUGUGUGUUUGAUUAGCAUAUAAUUUCUCUUUAUUUGGGUAUGUUCUGGCCUUCACAUGUGUUUCCUGAAGGUAUUUCUUACCAUUCCAAAGCCGUUCACAGAUGGAGCUGAAAAGCAGUAUAAAUUGAUUAAAUGUUGAAAUAAAGGCUUCUGGGGUGCCUUGCUUACAGCCACUUCUAGCUCCUUGUGUACAGGAGCAUAUUCAUUCAAAUACUACCAUACUGAAGUGUGAAAAGCACCAGAAGUAAUAGAUGUGGUUUAUAAUAAUCCUAUAAGGACCAACCAUCACUGGAAAGGGGAAUCAAGGUUGUCAUGCAGUAAACACAAGCCAUUUUUAAUAUUCCUGUCUGGCAUGAGGUGUUAUAGGGAUAGGGAUUGCACUGUGAUCUCAUUGAGUGAUGUGCAGUUUGGCUGGCCUCUAGCCUUUUUCUUCUACUUUUUUAAUACUUUAUUCUGUGUGUGCGUGUGAAAAUUGUGUGUUUCCAUAAGCUAGUCAAAAUGAAUUACAGGUUUCAGAAAUCUUUCCUACUGAAAUAAAUGAUUUAAAAGA
ensembl:lncRNA